rnacentral:rRNA from 1 species
ACACAAGCUGAGCAAAAUCAGAGGCACAAUUUGUUCCAUACCAAGGGAGUUGUGAAGGAACGUUCUGUGCGCAUCAUAAUAGACGGAGGGAGCUGCAACAACUUGGCUAGCAUGGAGAUGGUGGAGAAGCUUUCUCUCACCACAAGACCACAUCCACAUCCUUACUACAUCCAAUGGUUCAACAACAGCGGCAAGGUUAAGGUAACACGUACUGUUCGUGUGCAUUUUAGUAUCUCUACAUAUGCUGAUUAUGUUGAUUGUGAUGUGGUACCUAUGCAAGCAUGUUCCUUAUUACUUGGUAGACCAUGGCAAUUUGAUAAAAAUUCUGUACACCAUGGUAGAAACAAUCACUAUACUCUUGUUCAUAAGGAUAAAAAUAUUACUUUGCUUCCUAUGACUCCUGAUUCCAUUUUGAAAGAUGAUAUUAAUAGAGCUAAUAAAGCAAAACAGGAGACGAAUAAGAGUGAAAAUCAGAUUGUGGCAAAAGAAUUUGAGCAACAAAUGAAGCCUAACAAUAAACCAUCUAGUGUUGCUUCUGAAAUUAAAUUGAAAAGUGCAUGUUUAUUUGCCACCAAGUCUGAUAUUGAUGAGCUAGAUUUCGGCAAAUCUGUUUGCUAUGCUUUUGUGUGCAAAGAGGCAUUAUUUUCAUUCGAGGACGUGCCUUCCUCUUUGCCUCCUGCUGUCACUAACAUUUUGCAGGAGUUCGCUGACGUCUUUCCACAAGACGUGCCACCGGGAUUACCGCCUAUUCGAGGGAUUGAGCAUCAGAUUGACUUAAUUCCCGGUGCUUCACUGCCAAACCGUGCACCAUACCGUACCAAUCCAGAGGAGACGAAGGAGAUUAUGCGCCAAGUACAAGAGCUUCUCGACAAAGGUUAUAUACGCGAAUCCCUUAGUCCUUGUGCUGUUCCUAUUAUUCUAGUGCCGAAAAGGAUGGUACAUCACGUAUGUGUGUUGAUUGUAGAGGCAUUAAUAAUAUUACUAUUCGUUAUCGUCAUCCUAUUCCUAGGCUAG